GACGAACGCUGGCGGCGUGCUUAACACAUGCAAGUCGAACGGAAAGGCCUCUUUCGGGGGGUACUCGAGUGGCGAACGGGUGAGUAACACGUGAGUAACCUGCCCUUGACUUUGGGAUAACUUCAGGAAACUGGGGCUACUACCGGAUAGGAGCUCCUGCUGCAUGGUGGGGGUUGGAAAGUUUCGGCGGUUGGGGAUGGACUCGCGGCUUAUCAGCUUGUUGGUGGGGUAGUGGCUUACCAAGGCUUUGACGGGUAGCCGGCCUGAGAGGGUGACCGGCCACAUUGGGACUGAGAUACGGCCCAGACUCCUACGGGAGGCAGCAGUGGGGAAUAUUGCACAAUGGGUGGAAGCCUGAUGCAGCAACGCCGUGUGCGGGAUGACGGCCUUCGGGUUGUAAACCGCUUUCGCUCAUGACGAAGCUUUGUGUGACGGUAGUGGGUAAAGAAGCACCGGCUAACUACGUG
rnacentral:rRNA from 1 species